ensembl:lncRNA
AGAGAAACAGAGAGAAGACUACCCUACAUUCAGAGAAACAGAGAGAAGUCUACCCUACAUUCAGAGAAACAGAGAGAAGACUACCAAACAUUCAGAGAAACAGAGAGAAGACUCUACCUUACAUUCAGAGAAACAGAGAGAAGACUCUACCCUACAUUCAGAGAAACAGAGAGAAGACUCUACCUUACAUUCAGAGAAACAGAGAGAAGACUCUACCUUACAUUCAGAGAAACAGAGAGAAGACUACCCUACAUUCAGAGAAACACAGAGAGAGAAGACUCUACCCUACAUUCAGAGAAACAGAGAGAAGACUACUCUACAUUCAGAGAAACACAGAGUGAGAAGACUCUACCCUACAUUCAGAGAAACAGAGAGAAGACUACUCUACAUUCAGAGAAACAGAGAGAAGACUACCCUACAUUCAGAGAAACAGAGAGAAGACUACCCCACAUUCAGAGAAACAGAGAGAAGACUCUACCCUACAUAGAGAGAAACAGAGAGAAGACUACCCUACAUUCAGAGAAACAGAGAGAAGACUACCUUACAUUCAGAGAACCAGAGAGAAGACUCUACCCUACAUUCAGAGAAAGAAGACUACCCUACAUUCAGAGAAACACAGAGAGAGAAGACUCUACCCUACAUUCAGAGAAACAGAGAGAAGACUCUACCCUACAUUCAGAGAAACAGAGAGAAGACUCUACCCUACAUUCAGAGAAAGAGAGAGAAGACUACCCUACAGUCAGAGAUACAGAGAGAAGACUCUACCCUACAUUCAGAGAAACAGAGAGAAGAUUCUACCCUACAUUCAGAGAAACAGAGAGAAGACUACCCUACAUUCAGAGAAACAGAGAAAAGACUACCCUACAUUCAGAGAAACACAGAGAGAGAAGACUCUACCCUACAUUCAGAGAAACAGAGAGAAGACUACUCUACAUUCAGAGAAACAGAGAGAAGACUCCACCCUACAUUCAGAGAAACAGAGAGAAGACUCUUCCUUACAUUCAGAGAAACAGAGAGAAGAAUACACUACAUUCAGAGAAACAGAGAGAAGACUCUACCCUACAUUCAGAGAAACAGAGAGAAGACUCUACCCUACAUUCAGAGAAACAGAGAGAAGACUCUACCUUACAUUCAGAGAAACAGAGAGAAGACUACUCUACAUUCAGAGAAACAGAGAGAAGACUCUACCCUACAUUCAGAGAAACAGAGAGAAGACUCUACCCUACAUUCAGAGAAACAGAGAGAAGACUCUACCCUACAUUCAGAGAAACAGAGAGAAGACUCUACCCUACUUUCAGAGAAACAGAGAGAAGAAUACUCUACAUUCAGAGAAACAGAGAGAAGACUCUACCUUACAUUCAGAGAAACAGAGAGAAGACUCUACCUUACAUUCAGAGAAACAGAGAGAAGACUACUCUACAUUCAGAGAAACAGAGAGAAGACUCUACCCUACAUUCAGAGAAACAGAGAGAAGACUACCCUACAUUCAGAGAAACAGAGAGAAGACUCUACCUUACAUUCAGAGAAACAGAGAGAAGACUACUCUACAUUCAGAGAAACAGAGAGAGAGAAGACUACCCUACAUUCAGAGAAACAGACAGAGAGAAGACUACCCUACAUUCAGAGAAACAGAGAGAACACUACCCUACAUUCAGAGAAAUAGAGAGAAGAAUACUCUACAUUCAGAGAAACAGAGAGAAGAAUACCCUACAUUCAGAGAAACAGAGAGAGAGAAGACUACCCUACAUUAAGAGAAACAGACAGAGAGAAGACUCUACCCUACUUUCAGAGAAACAGAGAGAAGAAUACUCUACAUUCAGAGAAACAGAGAGAAGACUCUACCCUACAUUCAGAGAAACAGAGAGAAGACUACUCUACAUUCUGAGAAAAAGAGAGAAGACUACUCUACAUUCAGAGAAACAGAGAGAGAGAAGACUCUACCCUACAUUCAGAGAAACAGAGAGAAGACUCUACCCUACAUUCAGAGAAACAGACAGAAGACUACCCUACAUUCAGAGAAACAGAGAGAGAAGACUACCCUACAUUCAGAGAAACAGACAGAGAGAAGACUCUACCCUACAUUCAGAGAAACAGAGAGAAGACUACCCUGCAUUCAGAGAAACAGAGAGAAGACUCUACCCUACAUUCAGAGAAACAGAGAGAGAAGACUAUACCCUACAUUCAGAGAAACAGAGAGAAGACUCUACCCUACAUUCAGAGAAACAGAGAGAAGACUACCCUACAUUCAGAGAAACAGAGAGAAGACUACCCUACAUCCAGAGAAACAGAGAGAAGACUCUACCCUACAUCCAGAGAAACAGAGAGAAGACUACCCUACAUUCAGAGAAACAGAGAGAAGACUCUACCCUACAUUCAGAGAAACAGAGAGAAGACUCUACCCUACAUUCAGAGAAACAGAGAGAAGACUCUACCCUACAUUCAAAGAAACAGAGAGAAGACUCUACCCUACAUUCAGAGAAACAGAGAGAAGACUACCCUACAUCCAGAGAAACAGAGAGAAGACUCUACCCUACAUUCAGAGAAACAGAGAGAAGACUACUCUACAUUCAGAGAAACAGAGAGAAGACUCUACCCUACAUUCAGCCUAAAAAGCUAUUGUCCUGGAGAGCACAUGGUGCAUCAUAA